rnacentral:rRNA from 1 species
ACUAAAUAGAUACCCUGGUAGUCCACGCCGUAAACGAUGAUGACUAGCUGUCGGGGGCCAUAGGCUUUCGGUGGCGCAGCUAACGCAUUAAGUCAUCCGCCUGGGGAGUACGGCCGCAAGGUCGAAACUCAAAGGAAUUGACGGGGACCCGCACAAGCGGUGGAUGAUGUGGAUUAAUUCGAUGCAACGCGGAAAACCUUACCUACCCUUGACAUGCCAGGAACCUUGCUGAGAGGCGAGGGUGCCUUCGGGAGCCCGGACACAGGUGCUGCAUGGCUGUCGUCAGCUCGUGUCGUGAGAUGUUGGGUUAAGUCCCGCAACGAGCGCAACCCUUGUCACUAGUUGCCAUCAUUUGGUUGGGCACUCUAGUGAGACUGCCGGUGACAAACCGGAGGAAGGUGGGGAUGACGUCAAGUCCUCAUGGCCCUUAUGGGUAGGGCUUCACACGUCAUACAAUGGUCGGUACAGAGGGUUGCCAAGCCGCGAGGUGGGGCUAAUCCCUUAAAGCCGAUCGUAGUCCGGAUCGUAGUCUGC